rnacentral:rRNA from 1 species
UACGUAGGGCGCAAGCGUUAUCCGGAAUUAUUGGGCGUAAAGAGCUCGUAGGCGGUUUGUCGCGUCUGCCGUGAAAGUCCGGGGCUCAACUCCGGAUCUGCGGUGGGUACGGGCAGACUAGAGUGAUGUAGGGGAGACUGGAAUUCCUGGUGUAGCGGUGAAAUGCGCAGAUAUCAGGAGGAACAGCCGAUGGCGAAGGCAGGUCUCUGGGCAUUAACUGACGCUGAGGAGCGAAAGCAUGGGGAGCGAACAGG